GUUCACGAGUCUCAAAUAGGACGAAACGCGCGUCCUGAAU
rnacentral:hammerhead_ribozyme from 1 species